UGCCAGGCUUGGCCGGGAGGGUAGGCGUCUCCUGUAACUCGAAACCGUCUAUACGCGAGGGCGACAGCCGGCAAAGGGGGCAACGGUAACCAUGCAUUCCCCGGGGGUGCUGUGAGGUUCUGUCCUAUUGGAUCCUGGCAGCAUGUUCCCUUCCCGGAGGGGGAGGGGGCAUGAAUGAUCACGGGAACCCGCCAGGACCGGAAGGGAGCAACGGUUACGUGGGCCAAGGAUGCUGAUAGGGGUGCGGAAUGGAGCGCCGAAGGGGGGCUAUGCAUGGCUUUCUGACCUCCGAUGUCGGUGGCCUGGCA
rnacentral:SRP_RNA from 1 species